UUGGAUCGAGGUUUUAUCUUC
rnacentral:piRNA from 1 species